AUGCUCGCUUCAGCAGCACAUAUACUAAAAUUGGAAUGAUACAGAGAAGAUUAGCAUGGCCCCUGCACAAGGAUGACAUGCAUAUUCAUGAAGCAUUUCAUAUUUCU
rnacentral:snRNA from 1 species